AUUGAACGCUGGCGCAGGCCUAACACAUGCAAGUCGAGCGGCAGCGGGAAAGUAGCUUGCUACUUUUGCCGGCGAGCGGCGGACGGGUGAGUAAUGCCUGGGAAAUUGCCCAGUCGAGGGGGAUAACAGUUGGAAACGACUGCUAAUACCGCAUACGCCCUACGGGGGAAAGCAGGGGACCUUCGGGCCUUGCGCGAUUGGAUAUGCCCAGGUGGGAUUAGCUAGUUGGUGAGGUAAUGGCUCACCAAGGCGACGAUCCCUAGCUGAUCUGAGAGGAUGAUCAGCCACACUGGAACUGAGACACGGUCCAGACUCCUACGGGAGGCAGCAGUGGGGAAUAUUGCACAAUGGGGGAAACCCUGAUGCAUCCAUGCCGCGUGUGUGAAGAAGGCCUUCGGGUUGUAAAGCACUUUCAGCGAGGAGGAAAGGUUGGUAGCUAAUAACUGCCAGCUGUGACGUUACUCGCAGAAGAAGCACCGGCUAACUCCGUGCCAGCAGCCGCCGCGGUAA
rnacentral:rRNA from 1 species